rnacentral:rRNA from 1 species
CUACGGGAGGCUGCAGUGGGGAAUAUUGGACAAUGGGCGCAAGCCUGAUCCAGCAAUGCCGCGUGAGUGAAGACGGCCUUAGGGUUGUAAAACUCUUUCGCUAGGGAAGAUAAUGACUGUACCUAGUAAAGAAGUCCCGGCUAACUCCGUGCCAGCAGCCGCGGUAAUACGGAGGGGACUAGCGUUGUUCGGAAUUACUGGGCGUAAAGAGUUCGUAGGCGGACUGACAAGUUAGAGGUGAAAUCCCAGGGCUCAACCCUGGAACUGCCUUUAAAACUGUCAGUCUAGAGACCGGAAGAGGUUAGGGGAAUACCUAGUGUAGAGGUGAUAUUCGUAGAUAUUAGGUGGAACACCAGUGGCGAAGGCGCCUAACUGGUCCGGUACUGACGCUGAGGAACGAAAGCGUGGGGAGCAAACAGGAUUAGAUACCCGCGUAGUC